ACGUACACUCCUGCGGGAGGCAGCAGUGAGGAAUAUUGGACAAUGGGUGGAAGCCUGAUCCAGCCAUCCCGCGUGCAGGAAGACGGCCCUAUGGGUUGUAAACUGCUUUUAUCUGGGGAUAAACCUACUUACGUGUAAGUAGCUGAAGGUACCAGAAGAAUAAGCACCGGCUAACUCCGUGCCAGCAGCCGCGGUAAUACGGAGGGUGCAAGCGUUAUCCGGAUUUAUUGGGUUUAAAGGGUCCGUAGGCGGACUGAUAAGUCAGUGGUGAAAUCCGACAGCUUAACUGUCGAACUGCCAUUGAUACUGUUAGUCUUGAGUAAGGUUGAAGUGGCUGGAAUAAGUAGUGUAGCGGUGAAAUGCAUAGAUAUUACUUAGAACACCAAUUGCGAAGGCAGGUCACUAAGUCUUAACUGACGCUGAUGGACGAAAGCGUGGGGAGCGAACAGGAUUAGAAACCCGGGUAGUCCCA
rnacentral:rRNA from 1 species